rnacentral:lncRNA from 10 species
UCAGGAAAAGAAGACUGAAGACAAGGUUCUCCAACGAACAUCUAAUAAACUCUAGGUGACCAAAAAUAAGGAGGGAAAGACAGGCAAUUCCCAAUGAAAAUUUGACAGCCCAUCUGAAGUGGCCUCUUACAUGAUGCUGGUUGCAACUGGGGAAGUGCAGACAGGGCUUCAUGUUCCAUGGAUCCAGCUGGAGCCAGGAGCCAGGAUCAGGAUCCACUUGAAAGCCCAACCCCUUUGAAGUUGUAGGUUUGGGACCUGCCCUCUCGGGUGCAGCUGCAGCCACCAAGUCUCUGCUGCAGGCAUGGGCAUCUCUGCACUCUUGGAGGCCCAGGUAGCCCCCCAGCUCCCUCAGGCUCAGAAUGCCUGCAUCCACUGCCUGGCCUCUCCCUGCUCCCAGUGCCUGCUCUGAUUUUUAAGCAAAGUUGUGACUUAGCCCAUGCACUGUGACGACCUGGCUAGGUGUGUAUGCCCUCGGGACAGCGCCGACAUGCCAGCUCCCUGCUACCGUUCCCCUCUGGACUUUGGGCACCAAUAAGCAUGGGAGGGAGGCUGAGGGGGAGGGGACUAAGGGUGGAUCUCCACCGGCCUGCAGGCACCCUUCAGCAUGAACAGCCUGAGUGCUGUGGACACCGUGGAUAGCAAGUUAAUGAUAGCAGGAGGCAGAAAGGCUCCUGGGUGGAAAGGAGCAAGUACCCCAUGAAACUCCACCUUCAAACCAGGGACAGCUUGAGGCCUGGGGGCUGGGCUGCCAUUUCCAUGGACCGGAGUGAGAACAUAUGGUGCUUUCUUCAGGCCUACCCAUUGCCAGCCAUAGACCAAUCAGCAUGCACUUCCUCCUCUCUGAAGCCCAUGAAAAUCCCGGACUCUGGCCGGGCGGGGGCAGUGGCUCACGCCUGUAAUCCCAGCACUUUGGGAGGCUGAGGCCGGGGGAUCAUGAGGUCCGGAGAUCAAGACCGUCCUGGCUAACACGGUGAAACCCC